rnacentral:rRNA from 1 species
GUGUCAGCAGCCGCGGUAAGACGUAGGUGGCGAGCGUUACUCGGAAUCACUAGGCGUAAAGCGCGUGUAGGCGGGUGCUUAAGUCUGCUGUGAAAUCUCCCGGCUCAACUGGGAGGGGUCAGCAGAUACUGGGCGUCUGGAGUGAGGCAGGGGGUACUGGAAUUCCCGGUGUAGCGGUGAAAUGCGUAGAUAUCGGGAGGAACAUCAAUGGCGAAGGCAGGUACCUGGGCCUUUACUGACGCUAAGACGCGAAAGCUAGGGGAGCAAACAGGAUUAGAUACCCCGGUAGUCC